rnacentral:rRNA from 1 species
GAUGAACGCUGGCGGCGUGCCUUAAGCAUGCAGGUCGAACGGGAUUUUGGAGUCGCAAGAUUUUAAUUUUCAGUGGCGGACGGGUGAGUAUAAGCAGAGAACAUGCCCUUUUCUGUGGGAUAGCUCGUCGAAAGACGGGGUAAUACCGCAUGAGGUCGCAAGAUCAAAGAUCGCAAGAUCGGAGGAGGAGUGGCACUGCAUCUAUCAGCUAGUUGGUGGGGUAAAGGCCUACCAAGCCGACGAUCUGUAGCUGGUCUGAGAGGACGACCGGCCACACUGGGACUGAGACACGGCCCAGACUCCUACGGGAGGCAGCAGUGGGGAAUUUUGGACAAUGGGCGCAAGCCUGAUCCAGCCAUGCCGCGUGCGGGAAGAAGGCCUUCGGGUUGUAAACCGCUUUUGUCAGGGAAGAAAUCCUUUGAGCUAAUACCUCGGGGGGAUGACGGUACCUGAAGAAUAAGCACCGGCUAACUACGUGCCAGCCGCCGCAGUAA